rnacentral:rRNA from 1 species
AUUGAACGCUGGCGGCAGGCCUAACACAUGCAAGUCGAGCGGAUGAGAAGAGCUUGCUCUUCGAUUCAGCGGCGGACGGGUGAGUAAUGCCUAGGAAUCUGCCUGGUAGUGGGGGACAACGUUUCGAAAGGAACGCUAAUACCGCAUACGUCCUACGGGAGAAAGCAGGGGACCUUCGGGCCUUGCGCUAUCAGAUGAGCCUAGGUCGGAUUAGCUAGUUGGUGAGGUAAUGGCUCACCAAGGCGACGAUCCGUAACUGGUCUGAGAGGAUGAUCAGUCCCACUGGAACUGAGACAAGGUCCAGACGCCUACGGGAGGCAGCAGUGGGGAAUAUUGGACAAUGGGCGAAAGCCUGAUCCGGCCAUGCCGCGUGUGUGAAGAAGGUCUUCGGAUUGUAAAGCACUUUAAGUUGGGAGGAAGGGCAGUAAGCGAAUACCUUGCUGUUUUGACGUUACCGACAGAAUAAGCACCGGCUAACUCUGUGCCAGCCGCCGCAGUAACAC